CAGUAGCCGCGGUAAUACGAAGGGUGCAAGCGCUACUCGGAAUUACUGGGCGUAAAGCGUGUGUAGGUGGUUGUUUAAGUCUGUCGUGAAAGCCCUGGGCUCAACCUGGGAAUUGCGAUGGAUACUGGGCGACUAGAGUGCGGUAGAGGAUAGUGGAAUUUCCGGUGUAGCAGUGAAAUGCGUAGAGAUCGGAAGGAACAUCUGUGGCGAAGGCGACUAUCUGGGCCAACACUGACACUGAGACACGAAAGCGUGGGGAGCAAACAGGAUUAGAUACCCCUGUAGUCCCUGUCUCUUAUAC
rnacentral:rRNA from 1 species